UGGCCUCCACUUUUAGUCCCGGUUGUUGCUACCAACCGAGACUAAAGACUUUUUUCUUUUUUCCUUUUCUUUUCUUUUGGUUUUCCAUUUAGGGUUUACAAUUAUGUUAUUAUUAUUUUCGAAUGCGUAUUGUUUUCUGGUAGUUUAUGGAACAAGCACCUAUAAUUUAUAUAAUUUAAAGCAUGACAUAUAAAUAUACUAUAAAACACUAUAUAUAUUAUAUGUAUCUAUAGGUCCAUAAUAUAAUAUUUACACAUAUGCAUCACGGACAAAGUAUUUACAACACAAUUCAUCUCCGCCACUCAAGCAUCGUACAAAUGAUCAUUGUGAUUUGGUUUCAUUGGCUCCUCAGGGAUGAAGUAGCACUCGCCGCCGGGAUUCAGGACUUGGUCGUUAAGAAAUCCUGCAAUUGUCUCCUGAAUUCCUUUUGGGCGGACCGCAUCCAAGACCUGCUCCUUCAACCACAUUUCCUUUAAUAGGCAUUAAAGAAAAAAGUUAGAGAUAUGAAUAGGAUUUAUUAAAUAGCAAGAAAUAAAUGAAAUAAACUUAUUACAUAUACAUGUUACAUACUUUUAGGUGCUCAAGAUUAGUUCUUUUGGUAUAGACCGUCAUAAACUCGCACACAGAGUAGCCACUCAAAUUGUUGCCCGGUGUCUGCCGUGGAACCCAUUGAAGAUAGGCUUUGAAAGUGCUGCAUUCAACUCUGGACGGUGUUUCUGCACGAACCCAGUCCAAACCCUACCAAUAAAACGAUCAUUAUUAAUUAUGUAUUACCGAGUUAAAAGAGCAGAAUUUUAUAUAUAGAGAUCAGAGUUACCCUUGGAUAAUAUCUAUCAUUUCUUGGUAAUCGUCCUGUGGUUUUCUCAACGAGUCAUAGAUUACCAAUUGACAUUGCUAGAGAUCAAUGACAAUUAGUAUCUAAUGGAAGCUGCAUUUGUGUGCCUGUAGGCAAAAUUAGUAUAUAUCUUCAUACUGAUCUGAUUAAUUAGUUAAAUAGAAUGUACACACGAUAACGACACUUACUUAAAGUUGUAGGGAAAGAGUAUAUAUCUUUAGUCUUUUUGGUUGAUCAAGAACCUCCAUAGAUUUCUCUCCGUUUGAGUUCUCCAUAAGACAUACGGGGUCUUCUGGUCUUUGAAUACAACAUUUGGAUCCACAAAUCCAAUCUCCUUAUCAUUUCUAACUCUGAGGUCCCUCAUCAUGUUUCUGCAUAUGUAUAGCGGGUUUCUGUAAUUAGUUAUAUAUAUACAUGAUAAGUUACAGUGACAUUAUUGAAAGAAAGAAUCACUUACAGACAGAAGCAACUCAUUAG
rnacentral:lncRNA from 1 species